rnacentral:lncRNA from 13 species
AGUACGGUCAGCUGUGGUUGUGUUUAUCAUUCAAUUUCGGACAACUAAAAAUAUUUGUGAAUUUUAUUCUUUAUAUCUUCAGUCAUAUCUGCAGAAAAAAAAACUGCGAUUUUUUCGCCCAAGAAAUCUAUAAAAGCAAAAAUAAAUUGCAGUGUACCAGGAUGUGAUGCGACUGCAAGUAAAGACCGAAAUUUAUCAUUUCAUUUAUUUCCAAAAGCAAAAGCUGUAACAGUAAAAGUUAAAAAUUAUUUUGGAAACACCGAAAUACUUGACUUGCGAAGUGUUUGGUUAAACAAGUUUAAAUUUGGGAAAGCUUGUAGUAAUACCAUGAAAGUGAAAAUUCAUGCAGAAAAGUUUUAAAAAAGAAUGCAAUUCCUUCGUUGAAUCUUCCAUCAACUCCCAAGCAUGGAACCCUAUGCUAAAACGAAAACCUAUAGCAAGACCUCGAGAAAAUAGAAGUCGUCGACAAAUAAAUUUUCAAAAUUGUAAAAAUAAGCAAUUGGAAGCACAAAGGUAAAAAGAUUUGGAAACUUGAUUUUGCUAAUUUCAUAUUACAAAUGCUUAACAUUUAGAAUCAGGAACUUAUCAAUUUGUGAAAAAAUUGAAUCAAAAAGUUGUAAAAAGGUAUAGUAUUGAUUAAUUUGAUUGAAGAUAAUAGAUUGACUAUAUUUCGCUCAGUGUGAAAUUGCAAGCUUGUUUAAUAUUAUUAUACAUAUAAGUAUUUGCAUAUUAAGUGUUUUUUAAUAAUUUUUUAAUAAUCUUUCAACAAAUGCAUGUCUUAUAAUUAAUGCUUGGGUGUGUUUUGAAAAAUUUGUAACAUGUUUUUUUGGAGUUUCUUGUAAACGAUUUUUAACAUAUGUUGUGUAUGUAAAAUGUUGCAUCAUUUUAAUUAUUAUAUUUCUAUUAGGGAAAUAAGUAACUGCCUUAUGAUUAACGUCGUCACUUCAGAAAAUGAUGCAGAGGAAAAAUCUUCCCAAAAUAAAGGAAAUUUCAAUUUCGAUGCAUGUACAUUUGAAAAAGAAUUAAAGGCAUGCAAAGGUUCUCUUUUAUCAAAAGCUAACAAAAGAAACGUUGACAUUCAAGUAACUAGUGGAGACGUACGUCCUCACUCUAUUCUAUUUUACGUAACUUCGGAUGAAGUUCUUAAUACAUUCACCGGUCUUCCUACAAAAGAAAUCUUAAAUAAACUAGCUCAAAUUAUUGAACAAGUAUUCUAAUAGGAAAGGCCAUUUAUCUGUAAAAGAACAAAUUCUUUUGACUGUCAUGAAGAAAAACAAUUUAGUUGGAACUCUUCUGUCCACCACAGUAACAUAUUAACAUAGCAUUUUAGUUGUAUUCCUAAAAUUGUGAUGAUUUCAAUGAUGAUAAUGUGUGAUUUUCUCUACUACUUAGUUUAAUAGAUGUUUAUAUCCAUAUAUGUAUAAAGAUAUUAUAUUUAAACUAGAUUAUUAAUAAUAUACUAAUAAAAAUAUGAUUUAAUGUUUUUGUAAUAAUUUUUGCAAUAUACUAAAAUGAAUUCCAAAAUAAUUUAAAUAUUUAAUGUUGUAUUUUCUUCGGUCUUAUCGUUUUUCUUACAUAAGCAGUGCAGCAUUUUUGACAAAUAAAUAUAGCGUACAUUAGUCUUCAUAUCAAUGGCAAAGUUUUUAUCAUAUAGAAUUUCUAGAGUGUACAUAGAUUUAUCAAAGGUUGAAUAGAUAACAAGGUCACAUUUCUGAAUGUUUAAUGUAAACCCAACUGAAUUUGUAGUAUGAAUGUUUCUUUUUAAGAGUAUAAUCUUUCUCCAAAAAAGAGCAACAGUUUAAGCAGUCAUUGAUUGUUUUCGUUUUCCCUUCAUAAAGACAUUUAACUUCUAAUAACAACUCCGGACCACUUGCGCCAAAAAUAAUUCCAUCGGGCGAAUAUCCAACCCACGAGCAUUGAGGAUGAACGACAAAACCACAUUUUACCACUUUUUGUCCUGUAACUUUUUCAUAUUUAUUUAUCGCAAAUUGUUCUUGCAUCAAUCCAUGUUUUACAUACUUAUUUUUAAUUUCUUUUGGCCAAAAA